rnacentral:sRNA from 1 species
UCGAGUUCGAGCGGUUCCUGGACAGGC